rnacentral:tRNA from 1 species
UCUCUGGUGGCUCAGACAGUAAGGAAUCUGUCUGCAAUGCAGGAGACCCAGGUUCAAUCCCUGGUCAGGAAG